rnacentral:lncRNA from 1 species
GUAUUUUUGUUGAUAAAUUGUUUUUUUACUUGUUUUUUAAUGUUAGUUAUUAUUUAGAUCGAGAAGAUGUUAAUGUUGUUGUUUUUUAUUUGUUGAUGUUAUUGUUGUUGUUGUCUAGUUGUUAUACUUAGAAAGUUUUGAAAUCUAUAUGUUUAGGGUUUAGUUGUUGUUAUUGAGUUUGAGUUUGAGAUAGAGACUAAGAUAAUGUUUUUUGUGAUUCUUUGUGCAACUCUCAUCUUGUUCCUCUGAACUUGUCAAGAGGACAUUACAGUGACAGAAAAUAAAGUUGAGUUUAUUAUAUCUAAUAUCGAUUGUUUGUUUCAUAAUCCCUCUUUGAACAUAUAAUCUAUUAAUUUUUUUUGAACUAAUAAUAUGAACAAUUAUGUUAUCUAAUAUGGAUUGCUUCCAUCAUUUAGUCCUAGCUGAACAUAUAACUUUUUAAAUUGGUUUACAAAAUCAUUAUAUAAACAAUUAUAUUUGAAAAAUAAAUUACACUAAUUAAUGUUUUUCGGGCAUUUUGUAACUCAUCAUUCAUCUCACGUUCUUUAAUUGUUAAAAUCUCUCAAAUGCUUAUAGUUUUUGUUCAAAUUUAUUUCAUUCAAGUUGGUUUUACCCGUCAGUUAUAUUUCCAAACCGAGGGGAUACGUUAUUUUUCCAUUUAAAAAUUCCUUAAAGGAUCUCUUUGGGGAUCGAACCCAUGAUCAUUUCCACUUUACCCCUCGGUCAGAAACCAAUGGGUAAAGUGGCCAUUUUUCAUGUCUCCCUUCGUUACCUCACAUGUGUAACCGAUGUGAAAUCUAUUUUGAGCCCGUGAUAAGAUGUGCUUUUUGUAGUAGUGUGUCUUAUUCUGAUUUUUUUCUUUUGUCCCUGUGUCUGAUGGCUCUAAAAUCAAAGUUCAAUGCCUUGGCCAGGCACACUCUCUUCCAAAUUUAUCUUUAGAUUUUGUGCUAUAUAUUCCUUAUUUUCUUUUUAAUCUAAUAUCUAUCAACAAACACACUCGUACUCUUGAUUUUUCAAUUAUUUUUAUGAUAAUUAUGUUUAUGUUUAGGAUCUACAUAUAGGACAUAUGAUUGGAGUAGAAAGUGAUAUGGAGGAUUAUAUCAUCUAUAUCCACCACCGACAUGUGCUUCCAUUGCUUCUCAAAGCAUUACACAUCAACAUUUGUGUAACACCCGAGGUCGAAGAGGGUAGGGAGUGGUUGUAACACUCAAGGCCAAAUAGGGCAGGGAAUGGUCACCGAAAUUCACAUCAGAAUGAGAGGAUCCCGAGGUUGUGCAGGUAUGUGAUUGCAUGGUUAAAGGAAGACUUAUAAGGAUUGAUUGGUACACCUAUACCAAUAAUAUGCAUAUUUUUUUAUAGUCUAACAAAUAAAACCUCUAUAGUUAAGUGUGCUUGACUUGGAGUAGUAUUUGGAUGGGUGCCCUUUCGGGAAACUUCUUAGAAAAUGUGUGAGUGAGGCUAAAGCAUGAUGAAAAGACUCGUGUUGAUUUGUGAGGUCAGUCGAUAAUCCUGAAAGUAGUAUGAGACGUCACAAAUGGUAUCAGAGUAAACUUAUUCCAAUAUAGUAUGGUUCAGGGAUGAACCAAGCGAAAGCUGGUAAUGAUGUAACACUUUAAGCUGGAGAGGAUGUGGAGUGGUUGUAACACCCGAGGUCGAAGAUGGAGGGAGUGGUCGCUCGAAUUUAUAUCAGAAUAAGAGGAUCCCGAGGUUGUGCAGGUAUGAGACUAAAUGGUUAAGGAAAGACUUAUAAGGAUUGAUUGGUACUACCUAUACCAACAAGAUGCAUCUUCUUUUCAGUAGCCUAACAAAUAAGAACUUCAUAGUUAAGCGUGCUUGAUUUGGAGUAGUGUUUGGAUGAGUGACAUUCUGGGAAGUUUCCCAGAAAGCGUGUGAGUGAGGACAAAACAUGCUGAAAAGACUCGUGUUGAUUAGUGGAGUCAGUCGGUAAUCCUUAAAGAAGUUUGGAACGUUAUAGUUUAGGUCACCCUAGCUUUAAUAAAAUGCAUCUUUUAGUUACUAAUUUUUCUAACUUUCGUCAUUUGACUAUCAAUCGUGUCAAUUAGGAAAAUAUACUCGUCAUGCCUAUUGUCAACAAGUAAAUAAAAUUGCUAUGUCACCUUUCUCUUUAGUUCAUUUUCAUAUUUACAGUCCUAGUCGUGUCAGGUCAACUUUAGGAUAUUAUUACUUUGUAACUUUCUUAGAUGUUUUUUCACGACGUACUUGGUUAUUUUUAAUUAAAAUUCAUUCAAAGGUUUUUCCAUAUAUUCAAAGAAUUUUAUUCCAAAACUAAAAACCAGUUUGACAUUUCCAUUAAACUUUUACGCAUUCAAAAUGAUCGUGAGUAUAUGUCAUCCGAUUUUCAAUAUUUUUUAACAUCACAAAAUAUUAUUCACCAAUCAUCUUGUGCGUACACACCAUAAAUAAUUGGUGUUGCUGAACGAGAGAAUCGUCAUUUAGUUGAAACUGUAUGAACUCUUUUUAUUCAGCACAAUGUCCCUUCUCGUUUUUGGGGGAGAUGCUCUUCUCAAGGCUUGUCAUCUUAUCAAUCAAGUUUUCUCAUUGGUUCUUCAAGAUCAUAUUCAAUUCUCUAUCUUGAAUCCGCAACAGAAUCUCUACUCCAUUCCUCUUUGUGUAUUUGGUUGCAUAUGUUUUCUUCAUGACCUUAGUAAAGGUAAAGACUAACUUUCUGUCAAAUAUCUCAAAUGUAUUUUUCUAGGCUAUUCCUAUAUACAAAAGGAUAUCGUUAUUUUCCCCCCAACUUCAACGAUACAUUAUUUCCUCCGAUGUCACAUUCUUUGAAACUUUCCCAUUUUUACCUGCCUAUGAGUCACCUGAUGAGAAUUGUACUUCAAAUGUUCUAGAUAUCUCUUAUGUCAUCUCCACACCUAGUGCAUCCCCUACACCUCUAUUAUGUGUCUACCAGCAAAAAACACACCCUCUAUCGAAAGAAAGAGAUAAUAUUGAUCCACUACUAACACCAUCUCUUUUUCUAACUGCUCCUAAAGUUAUGUCACCUGAACUUGACAUUACAAUAGCAUUAUGAAAAUGUAUUCGGUCUCAUCAUCCUAAUCCUAAAUAUACUUGUGUUUUAAAUUAUGAUUGUCUCUCUACUUCCUAUGUUUCUUUUGCUUCUGCUUUGGAUUUAGUGUAUAUUCCUAAGUCCAUAAAUUAAGUUAUGAUUGAUCCUAAUUGACGUCAGAAGAUGGUGGAAGAAAUGGUUGUUUUGCAUUCAAAUAACACUUGAGACAUUGUCUUUUUACCUCUAUACAAAAUUGUAGUGGGAUGUCGAUGGGUUUAUACAGUGAAAGUUGGACCAUAUGAAGUAAAAAGGCCCGGGAAGAUAUCGACAUCUUGUGGAUAGACUCAAUUAUCUUAUCAUCACCAAACCGAGUAUUACAUUUGCAGUGAACAUUGUGAUUCAAUUUCUGAAAGCUCCUUGUGAUAGUCAUUAGAAUGCAAUUAUUCAGUUUCUUAGAUAUAUGAAGAAUGCACCAGGAAGAUGACUAUUAUAUGAAGAUAAGGGUGAUGCUAAAAUCACUUGUUAUUCAAAUGCAGACUGUAUCAAAUCACCAUCAGAUAGAAGAUUCACUUAUGGAUAUUUUGUUCUUAUUAGAGGAAAUAUGAUCUCAUGGAGAAGUAAGAAACAAAACACAUAUGCACUUUCUAGUGCUGAAGCUUGAUAUCGUGUUAUGACAACAGCCUCAAAGGAGCUCGCAUGACUUAAAAAUUUACUCUUAGAGCUCAGAUUGGGAGAUCUUCAGGCCACAAAACUUAUAUGUGAUAAUCAAGCGACACUCCACAUUGCAUCUAAUCCGAUUUUCUAUGAACGAAAUAAACACAUAUAAAUAGAUUGUCAUUAUGUAAGAGACAAGGUACUUUCAGGUAACCACAAAUUUGGUCAAGUCGGAAUACCAAUUGUCUGAUACGUUCACUAAGUCUCUCAAGAGUUUUUGAGUGGAUUACAUUUGUAACAAGUUUGCCUCAUAUGACAUAUAUGACCCAACUUAAGGGGGGAGUGUUAAGAAUCGAUCAUCAUCAAUGUGUAUCAAUUAAAAUUAACUGUAUUGAUUGUAUUAUUUUAUUGUCUACAACUCAUAAGGAAUAUAAAUUUACCCUAUUAUGAUCUCAUUAGACACACAAUAUUAUACAAAAAAAUACUCUUUCAAUAAACUUUUUAGUCACAUCAAAACUUUUGAAUUUUCUCUUCUCUCUUUUCUACACUUUGACUUUUCAUAAUAUCUUCUCAUUUUUCUGUAUGUCGAGUUUUCUAUGAAUACUAAAAAAUUCUCUUCAAAAAGAUACGGAUGAUAUUCAUAUCAUAUUAAAGACGUAAUUUUAUAGUCGGUCUUAAAGCGUGGAAGCAUACCAAUAAAGUUUAACUGAGUUGUUUUAUACUUAAAACUUUGUGUGAUAGUAUAUUUAUAUAAUUUUAGACAGUGUUGUAAAAUAUCUUAAGAAAAAGGCUCUAGUAUGAGACUCUUGGUAAUUUUUUUUUUGUUAACAAUAUGUUUAAAAUUAUUUUAUUACUAAAAUAGUAGAAAACGACUAAAGUUUUUAUUUUAUAUUUUCACUUUCAAUUCAUGAAUUUAUGUUGUAAGUAUGAUGAUUGUUCUAAUUUCAUUGUUCUUCAAUUGGUUCAGCUUAACUUAAUUUAUUUGGCAUUAGUAGUAGCAUUUGAACUAGAAAUAAAGAAGAUUUGUAGUGAUGACUUUAUGAUGCAACCAACUUUCUUUUUUGAGUGUUACAUGCUGAUAUAACGUGCUCAGAACAUUAUAUAUGCAUGAUCCUUAUUCUUUAGAAACUAAGAAUUUAAGAAUGCUAUAGCCAAACUUUGACACUUUUUGGCUAACUUUGGAACAUGGGAGAAGGCAUGGGAUACCAUUCUUUUUUGUUCCAUUUACAUUGCAUCUACCUAUAGAAUCAAAGCUUUUGCUUUUGUUAUUACGUGUUCACAUAUACGUAUCAUAUUUGUUGCAUAUAUUCUUGGACCUACAUUGCAUUAGAAGUCAAUAUAGUUUAGCUUUUUCUCAAUUUUAUGCACAUGAAAAUGAUAUAACUAAUUGACAAUUUAAAUGUUGUAUUUUGUGACACAGCAUGUGAGUACUCUUCUAACUUUGGCAAUCAGCAUGUGAAUAAUAUAAACAAGAAAUGCACAUUACAAUAUUUAAUGUUAUUUGUCAUGUGGGAUCACACUUAGUUUUCUUAGUAUUAAUAAUUGUGACAGUGGAAGCUAUAAACUAGAUUCUGUGCUUAGUAUUCUACCAGCCCACGACAGCCUCACAACAAUGUAGUGUCUGUAAAUAAGUUUUGACUAGUAAACCACCAAAAUGAUAUGGUCUCAAUUUGAUCAUUACAAUAUAAAUAUUUUAAUUUAGUAUUCUAUAAAAUGUUUGUUGAAUUGUUUGUUAUUUUCCUAUUAUAAAAUGUUUGUUGAAUUGUUUGUUAUUUUCCUAUUAUAAAAUGUUUGUUAAAUUGUCUAUGUGUGUUCCUAUUUACGGUAAAUUGUAUCACUCUCAACAAAUAAGUUUGAUGAUUAAUCUAAAAUUUUAGUUAAGUUAUUUGGAGAUUUUGAUUGGUAUAAUCAAGGGGAAUUAGAAGUUUUUAGAAUCUCAAUUGAAUUAAUUCAAAUUUAUAAAAUUAGCUUUUAAGAUGAGGAUUUAUCCUCAAUUAUAAAUAUAUUUUCAUUCCACAUAUUGUCAUAUAUAUGUGGUGAGACUAUUAACGGAGCUCUUCGCGUCUAUCAAUAUUAGAUGAGAUACAUAGAUAUAAAUGGCGGAUGUCCUAAAAGUGGAAAGUUGAUAACAAGUGACUUAAUUGAUCUUGAAGUAUUUUAAUUAUGUAGAAAAAUAUUUUAAUAUAUUUUAAAGUUGUAAUUUACAAUACUAGAAUUAAUUUGUUUAAAUAGAGAUGAAUCUCAAUCUAAUGGACUUACUUAACGAGCCUCAUACAAAUAAAAUAAAGUAACUAUAAAUAUUACUAUUUUUAGUCUAAUAUUUAUAACAUUUCUCUUAAAGUUGGUGAAUGAAUAUUAAUCGUUUAAAACUUUCAAGUAAGUUGGUUGAAUCAUUAUGUUGGCAAACCAUUUAUUAAUACAUUUGUCAUUGGAUGCCUAUAAGGCAUGUAGAUGAUAAUUAUCAAUCCAUUAUCCAACUUUUUUGAUGAAAUAUCAGUAUCGCGUCGCAAAAAUUACAGAGUCACCAUCGAAUUUUAUUUAUGCCAGAGAAAAGGGAAAAUAGCAACAAAACCCCAAAGAGAAUGAUCUUCACAACCAAGAGCGGAUUCAGAAGUCGGUUAUGCAAGGGGAAGGUAUUAACACCCCUCACAUCCAUCGUACUCGAUGUGAACCACUAUGCUUGUAUCAAUGCGUAUGGAUGUUGUUUAUCUGAAUGUUACUUUCUAUCGGUUAAAGAGGUGAAUGAGAAAAGAAAAUAAGUUUUAAAUUAGUGUGCUCACCAAGGUUUCGAACCCUUGUGCCUACAUAUCCUCAUUCGUGUAAUAAGGAAGUUAGGGCUCCGUAGUUCCGAUCACAAAACAAAGUUAUUGUUUGAUUAUUUUUAAUGAAUAAUAUUUACAUUCACGUUCUACAAUCAACUUAUUUGUAUGCUCGAGCAUGUGAGCUUUAAGUGUUUGUUUGUUUGCGGUAGAAUGGAUGCGCUUAGAUCGCACUCUAGCAAUUAAACAUUACUUGUAUACUCACACAUGAAGGCUUAAGCUUCGCUCACGGUAGAACGGAAGUAACAUGCCCUUCCUGAAAAGGAAGAUUUGCAAGGUGCCCCAAGGCAAAAAAAAUUGAUUUGAUUGGUUAGGGGUUGAUUUUAGACUUUGAGACAAACAUCCAACCCUUGGCUAAGUACGUCCAACAAUCUGAAUAGUUGGGAGUUGAGAUAACAGUUGCAUCCUAAUCACUCUUUUCAAUCCAAAAGGAAUUUUUAUUGUGAAAUGAUUUGGCAAGUCCAAUCCUUGGUAAUUAGAGGGAGACAAGUAUCUAACCCUUGGCUAAGUAUAUCCAACAAUCAGAACACCCCGAAGUUGAUAGGACAGUGACAUCCUAACCACUUUUUUUCUCUCUCAGAGCACCAGAUUGAACUCGUUUUAUUGUUAGGUGUUUUGAAUGAAAGUCAAGCAUCAGGCCAAGAGCUAGGUACAAUCGACAACCCAAGUACUUGAAUGUUGUGUACAAAUACAUACACCCCACUUUUACUUUCCAGUUUAUUGAGAAAAGAUUUUGAAAAUGCACUUGACAUUGGAUCAAGUGUUUGGAAUUUAUUGUGAAAAAGUGUGUGUGAAUAAUGAAGAUAGAGAUAUAGAUAGGGUUGAGAAGUAGAAGUGGUAUGAGAGAAUGGAUAAUGAUGAAAAGGUACUUAUUGUUGGAUCAAACACUCUUGUUGCUUUGAAGUGAGUUUAAUUUGGAAAACAUUUGACGUUGGAUCAAGUGUGCUUUUCCUCUUUUGAAAAUUAUCUUUUUAUCGUUUGGGUUUAUCUUUUAAGUUAGCAUGCAUAGAAAACGAUAAAAAAUAUAAACCCUAAGCUAUUACACUUGCAUGGGAUGGGGGUACAUGUGACCCACAAUGGGGGAAUGAUACCAAACAAUACAAAAGGUAAGAAUGAAAACCAUAUAAGUUACAACCCAAGCACCAUGCCUAAAAAAAUCAAGUGGCACGGUGUCCUUAAUCAAUACAAGGCAAAUGAUGAUUAAUGAUCAUAAUAGGAAAGUCUCUUGGAUUGAACUUGAAGUCUCAAUGGUCAUGGUAAUCACACAAGCAAAUGAAUUAGUAUGGAUGAAAACAAAUGAGAACAAUGCAUCAAAUGUAAACAUGUUCAAUGGCAAUCAUCAAUUCACAUGGGAAUGGAUCAAUAUGGACAAUUAAUCAUAAAUGAACCACAUGAUCAAGGUGAACGAAAAUGACCUAUACAUGGCACAUAUCCAUUAAAUUGAAGCUUAAGAUAUUCAAAAAAUUAAUGGGCGAUUAAAUAGAAUUAACCAUAUGUCAAAAAUCAAUGGGUAAUUAAAUAGAAUUAACCAUAUGUCAAAAAUCAAUCUAACAUGAAUUAUGGAUCAAAUUGACAAGUUGAAAUCAACAUGUAUUAACUCAAAUCACAUGAACAUGAAAAUUAGAUAAAUCAUAUAGAAAUACCACAGCCAACGAUUAUAAUAAUCAGCCAAGAAAUAAAAUGUUCAAUUAAAAAUGAAUUAAAAUUCUACAAAAGUUUCUAAGUGAAAUUAACAAGUAAAUGCCAAAUAUAUCACAUUUUUUCAUGGUAGCAAAUAUCAAGAUUUAUAGUGAAAUGUGGUGACAAAAUAGUACAAAAUAAUCAAGAGAAACAUGCAAAAAAAAAACAAGAAAAAAGUAUUUUAAAAAAGCACAAAAAAGAGGGGCCAACAAUCCAAAACAGGAUGCAAAUAAGGUUCUGGCGCACCUGGGCCCAAAAGGAUGGCCCAUACCAAUUCUACAUGCAAGCAGAGGUACACUAGAAAAAACAAUAUAAUGUUAGUAGAUUUUGGCCUAAGCCCAACACACCAAGGCCACACGGAAUUUCAUCAUAUGCAUUGGAAAUGGAUAAGGCUGAACAUUGACACGACAAUGAGUUAGCGCUGAGGUGGAUAAGUAACUCAAAUCACUUAAUACCAAUUAACGCACGUGCAACAUGUUGAAAAGAGAAACUCAGAACAAAUAACACAAAUGCGGAUCUCUCUUCUAUCUCAUUUCAUUUUCUGCUUCUAUUUCUCCCUCCGCCAUUCCGGAGGCUAUCCUCGUCGGCAUAAGCACUCCAAUUAACAAACUAAAGACAACAUCUAACCUAUUUUGACGCCCUAUAUCCGAAUCUACCACUAAAAUUCCCUAAUUCCUCGAUAACUUCUCAAAUCAAAACAAAAUCUUGAUGAACCUUAACAUGAAAAAAUGGAAUUAAAUCGCAUCGGAGGGAAAUCGAUCCACCCCACAUUGGGGCUUUGAUUCCCCUCGUGAAGAACUACAUUCCUGUAACUAAAUUUUGAAAAAACAAAGAAGGUGAUUGAAGGCUCACUAGAGCACACAUCGGCGUCAGGUACGACUUUCUUGAACUCUUUCUUUGCAUUUCAAAUCGUCUUCUUCUUCUCCUGUUGAUUGUGUUGUUAUUCUUGUGUGUGCAUUGUGAGUUAUGAAUCAGCGUGUGUGGUUGUUGAUUUGCGAGAGAAGUGAGAGGUGAUGAAUUCUUGUGAGAGUUUCGAAACUGAGAGUUGAAGAUGAAUUCGAAGGUGAUGCAAAAAUCUGGAAAAUAAGUUGAAGGAGAAUUCAAAGGUGAUGCCAAAAAUAUGGAAAAUGAGUUCCCAAUUGAAAAAUGGUGAUUGUUCUAUUUAUAUAGUUUCUGAUUUCUAUUAUGUUCUUCUCAAAUUAUGUUAUAGUUUUUAUUCAUUUUGUUAGAAGCUUGCGAAGUUUGUUACAAGCCGGUUAGGUUAGUUUGUUGAAAGGUGAAAGUUAGUUACAAAGAGUUAGUUAGGAUAAGUUAGUUGGAAGAAGGUUUAGGUUGUGUGAAGUUAAAUAGGUUCUAAGUUUCUUGAUUGUAGUCAGAAGUGAAAUGAAAAUUUUGCGAAUGUUUUCUGUUUAGACUUUUGAACUGAGUUUUUGUGGUGAUGCAGGGUUGUGGUUUCAAUGGCUAAGGCAAGGUUGACUUGAGAUGUUAUCAUGGUUCUUAGUUAUGAUGGAUCAUGUCAUAGUUUUUCUUUGGUCAUGAAAUUGGAUAUGGAUUUAUGAGCUUUGGAUCAUUAGACUAGUUUUGAUCAUGUUGGAUACUGUUGUAAUGGUUUAUAUUGUGAAUUUGAAAUUAUGUAUGGUUAUGUAAAAGGUAUUUGGAAAUUGAAUAAAUGGAAUUUUGUAUAUGUAUGGAAUUAUUAUUGUAUGAGAUAUGAAUAUUAAUGGUUAAAUAUAAUUUGUGUUAUAAUGUGAUGGAUUA